rnacentral:rRNA from 1 species
UACGUAGGGGGCAAGCGUUGUCCGGAAUCAUUGGGCGUAAAGAGCGUGUAGGCGGCCCGAUAAGUCCGCUGUGAAAGUCCAGGGCUCAACCCUGGAAUGCCAGUGGAAACUGUCGGGCUGGAGUCCGGAAGAGGCGAGUGGAAUUCCUGGUGUAGCGGUGAAAUGCGCAGAUAUCAGGAGGAACACCAAUGGCGAAGGCGGCUCUCUGGAACGCAACUGACGCUGAGACGCGAAAGCGUGGGGAGCAAACAGG